rnacentral:sRNA from 1 species
AAAACUUUGUUUAAUUGAACUCUAUUGUCUCAUCCACACACUGUCCUGAUACACUGUUACCCACCCUUUCCCCUCUUCCUUUAGCUACUUUCCUGGGGUAGGUGAGGUUGUGGUCUUGAAGAAAUUCUUGUUUUAUCUCUUAUAAGAGGGCACCAGUUUCUUCUUCAUUCCUGCUUGGUUCAUGAUCUCUUCUGAGUGUGACGGUCACUGUUUUUCUGCUUUCCACAUGAACGUGUUCUUUGCACAACCUAACACCCUAAUCCCUCCAUCUCUAAAUUCCAAGGUCAGUCACAAGGCCAGGCCCUCUACGAAGCCGUCUCCAGCCCUCUUUCCUCUCAGCCUGAUACGUGGGGAGUAUGACUCAAAUGUUGUUACUUUCUUCGUGGAAGUUGAAACUAAAUUAUUGACAGUGGUACUAUUUCCAAAACGACUGGUGCAUUGCAGGUGCUCGAACUUGUAGUUCUCGCUAGUAAUAGCUUAUCUCCUAGAUCGGAUUCAAUUCGUUGAUGACAGGUUCUGAAUCAUCUUUUGAAAGCAUACCAGGCCUGGCGAGGGCAUUGCCCAUAUUAAUGCUGCGCUCAUGUAAUACGGGGCUGGGCAAAGGAAGAGCUACAAUGCUGUGAUGUGAGACAUUCCUUUAGCCUGAAUGGUACCAACAUUUCAGAGAAGCCCCUUACUCUUCUGCACUAAGAACAAACAGAAGCUAGAUGGCUUCUACAGCCUGCAGCGGGAUGAGGUAACUGCUCACUUUAGUCCUUCUUCUCCACUGGAGCCCGAAAGGGGGCGAUGUGGGUAAUCGCGCUUCGCGCGGCCCUCUGGGACGGCUGCGCACGCGCAGCUUCCGGCUCCAGGCUUCGAGAUUUAUUUGACGCUGUCCACUCGGUUCCAUCAGAAGUCUCGGGUCAGACGCGCCGCGCAGGCGCAGUGGUCCCUUCGGCUGGGGAAUUAUUUGACGCCACCGCCCCUGGCAGUCGGAAGUUGCUUGAACGGAGCUCAGCCGGCCGGCCAAGCGACCGGUUUUCGUCGUCUCCUGGGCGCCCUGUGAGAGUCACUGACGGGUGGAAGGACUGACCGCCAGUGGAGGGCCGGCCGGGGCAGUGGCAGCGCGGGCCGGAUGGCGCGGGUCGCGUGAGGCGGCAGGCCGAGUGCGGCCCGCGGUGCGCCCGCCCAGCGAUGCGGGCCCCGCCCGUCGCCUCAGAUGCCAUUUGGAUAGUACUUUUAGUGGGCACAAUGUACUCUGAGUGGCGGUCACUACAUUUGUGGU